GACGAACGCUGGCGGCGCGCUUAACACAUGCAAGUCGAGCGAGAACCUGGGCUUCGGCCCAGGGGACAGCGGCGAACGGGUGAGUAACACGUGGGUAAUCUGCCCUUGACAUCGGGAUAGCCCGGGGAAACCCGGAUUAAUACCGAAUAGCCUCCGGAGCCUUCGGGCGCCGGAGAAAAGUAGCUUCGGCCUCUGGUCAAGGAUGAGCCCGCGGCGGAUUAGCUUGUUGGCGGGGUAACGGCCCACCAAGGCGACGAUCCGUAGCUGGUCUGAGAGGACGAUCAGCCACACUGGGACUGAGACACGGCCCAGACUCCUACGGGAGGGCAGCAGUGGGGAAUCUUGCGCAAAUGCGGGAAACCGUGACGCAGCGACGCCGC
rnacentral:rRNA from 1 species